GUGUUCCUUUGCAAAUGAUUAACUUUUCUUAGUAUUCCUUUGUAUAUGAUUAACUUUUCUUAGUGUUCCUUUGUAUAUGAUUAACUUUUCUUAGUGUUCCUUUGUAUAUGAUUAACUUUUCUUAGUGUUCCUUUGCAUAUAAUAACCUUUAACUUUCUUCCUUUAUAAAUGAGUAACACUUUUUAUUCCUUUACUAAUGAGUCUAGCACUCCCUUUAAAAAUGACGGUCUAUUUUCUUCCUUUAUAAAUGAACUUACAACUUUAUUUCUCCUUACAAAUGAAUCACCCACUUUCUUUUCCUUUACAAAUGAAAAUCUAUUACUUGCAUUUCUUUUCUUUUUUUCUUUUCUUUUUUUUUCUCCGUCAUUUUCAUUAUUUUUAAAACUUUAUUUCGUUUUUAUUUCUUGUUGUUGUUUUUCUGAGCUUAUUUUCGUACAUUAUUUUUCUCCUUUCUUUUUUAAUUCCUUUUUUUAUUUCUAUUUCUUCAUUUAUCAAUUUUCCUUUACUUUCUUUCUAUUAAUCUUUAUAUAUCUUCCAUCUUUUCUGUUUUGUCUUCCUUCCUUCUAGUUUUUCAUUUUACUUUUUUUUCAUAAUUAUCGUUUUUUUUUCAUAUUUACAACUUAAAAAAAUGUUAGGUUUUUUCAACAUCAAAACAUUUCAUCUCCUUAUCUUUGGCUUUUAUUUACAAUCACGAACAAUAAAUAAAUAGCGACACACACACACACACACACACACAAAUAUAUAUAAAUACAUUUCCUUCAUAAAACUGUAAUACAACUUUUUUCAUCUUUUCCUUCCAUUCAUUAACUUCAAAAUAUUUACACAAACAAAAAAAUAUAAUAAUAAUAA